ACGCACCAUGAAAUUUAGGCUGAACUGGGUUUUCCUUCUGACCAUUUUCCAAGGUGUCCAGUGUGAUGUGGAGCUGGUGGAGUCUGGGGGAGAUGUGAUACAGCCUGGGGGAUCUCUGAGUCUCUCCUGCAAAGGUUCUGGAUUUACUUUCAGCAACUACAGGAUGCACUGGGUCCGCCAGGCUUCAGGAAAGGGACUGGAAUGGGUUGCAUACAUUAGUAGUAGUGGUGGUACUACACGCUAUGCAGACUCUGUGAAAGAUCGAUUCACCAUCUCCAGAGAUAAUGGCAACAGCAUCUUAUAUCUACAAAUGACUUCCCUUGAGACUGAGAACACAGCUGUGUAUUACUGUGCAAGAGAGUCUAUGAUUUCUCUACAGCCAGAUUUUUUGGGUUGGCCCCCGGGGAAUGACUGUCUGCAGUUUCCCAGCCAUAAUGUCAAUAACUGGGUCAUUCCACCGGAGUAG